UCCAGCACUGUAACUUUCAAGGGCAUUUUUUGUGAAUGGAUUUUCAUGCGUCACGUUUCGAGAACUUGUUUCUUCUUCUUCUUUUUUUGAAAAACUAAAAAUUUAAAAAAAAAAGUGAUGUGCGAGUGCUGAGGUAAGCAAAUUAUCUGGAAUCACGGUGAUGUUGACGUGGCAUUCAUUCGAGUUUUUUAAAAAGACCCAUGAACACUAUGUAGCUUUGGGUGAAAGAGCUGUUAUCGUCUAGUUACGGUAAAUAUUGAUCAUCCUAAACAAUAAUGUAUAACCCUCGCUAAUACAAAAUAGUUCUUACGAGUCUUCCGAAAACUGCGAUUUUGAUUAUUAGUGACACUUCUGCUCUGGCCCAUUCACCGCGGAGAAUGAAACUAUUGUAUUAGUGUUUGAUUAGAUGUCGGUUGCAGGUCUGCUAUAAAUUACUGCGCAGUGCAAAAGUUAAUUGUACACAAGUUAGAUGCUUUUGGGCGUAAUAUUAGCCGUCACCGCAUGGUUUGAUCUUCUGGGUGAAGCCAGCGCUAGAAAAUACUACUACCUCGACAUUCUGGAGGAUAAACAAUUGGAUCGCGAUUAUAUCAGGAGAACCGGAGAAGUUUUUGUUUCCGAUGCGCCUGCCCGAUUAUACAUGUGCACGAAUACACAUAUGGACGGCACGGCCGUCAUCUGGUGCAAAUCGUUGAACCGGACGGAAGAAGAGCAUGCGCUCAACUCGGCGACGUUCUUCAGCGCCUACAGACCGUUGGCGGAGACGCCCCUGUGGCUCGACGAGGUGGAGUACCCGACGCUGCCCCUCCUCAUGUCCGUGGGCUUCCCGCCGCGCCACCCAGAGUGGCCGAGCUUCCAGACCUCCACUCGGGACAGGGAGGUCGAACGAGUCAUCCAGGUCUGUAGGAGCAAAGGGUGUCUCCCGGACCAAGAGGAAGACAUCAAGGAUCUCCUGGACUACGUCAAGUGUAAUAAUGUUGGCGAGUGUGUCAUCGAUAAAAACCGGCACAUCAUAGACACCACCUUGCAGGUUUUGCAAGCGGCCCUCGAGUGGAUCAACGGCGUCUAUUACAAGAACUACAGUCCUCGGGCCAGAGUCAAGAAAUUCGUGAUGAAACGGCUGCCAAGUUAUAUAACGAAAAGUUCAUUGUGGAAAAAAGUCGGUUGGGCCUCCAGUCCGCGUCGUGAGAGAUCAACAUCAACACCCGACAGUAUUCCAAUAUCUUCCGAGCUAAAAGCCAUCAGCAAACUCAUGGUCAACAAACUGCUUGACCCUUGCACCUUCAAGAGAUACGUUAAGGGAGAGGAGCAAUGGAACGAGAAAUAUCGGAUCGACCGAAACUGCAGAAUCUACUGCCAAUUUCUGGGAGUCGCCGUGGAGAUAUUUGUACCGACCUCGGUGCCCUCCCCUCUCGUGUACUGCUCCCAUCUGAUUGAUGGGAAAUGCAAUCACAGAAAUGUGUGUGUCUGCGAGCGACGAAUUCCGACACCGAUUCGACGGUACAGACCUGAGAUUAACAUGCUUUACUGCGACAACAUGCUCCGACGGAAAUUGAGCAAGAUCGAGUUGCCGAUUCAGAGGCCGCCUCCGCCCAAGUAUACGCCUUCACCGCCGCCCAAGUAUACGCCCACGCCUUCGCCCAGGUAUACGCCCACACCUUCGCCCAAGUAUACGCCUACACCGCCGCCAAAGUAUACGCCCACACCUUCGCCAAAGUAUACGCCCACACCUUCGCCCAAGUAUACACCUUCACCGCCGCCCAAGUAUACGCCUGCACCGCCGCCCAGCCCGGCCCUCAGACAGGCUCCACAAGUAUACUCUGGAUCUGAAUCUGGAUCUGAUUCCGAAUCUGAUGCUGGAUCUGAAUCGGACGCGUCUCAAGGCUCGCCGGUAGAAAAAGAUGAAUUUUUAUUGAGGCUAAAAAGGGCCUUUCCUUCUGGAAAUAUAGAUAUUUAAAAUUCAUUCGACCAAAACACCGAACUUCCUUUCUAAGCUAAUACUGCCGUGCUGAGGAAGAACGCCGUAUGAACAUUCGAGAGUUGCCAAAUUUAUCCGAGUAAAACAUGUAUUUUUGAAGAAAGUUAUGCGUAUUUUUCCUUUAAAUUUUCCGAUUUUUUAGAUUAAAUUAAAAACAAAAUUGUCUGAACAAUUGGAAGAAAAAUAUUCAGAAUUUUCCCAGUAACUUUGUUGGUUAUUAAAGGAAAUACGGUAACGCAUUCAGACGCACAUCACAUAAAACGCCUUCAGAAGCUUCAUAACACAUCUGAAAUGAUAAUUGUAUCACAGUAUUUUGAAGGCGAAUUGAAAAGUGUUAGAAAAUGAUACGGACUAGAUCGAUUGCACAGAUCUAUCUACUGACAGUUUUAUUUUAUUAAUUUUGCUGAAAUAAAGGUUGGCUUUUAUCUUGUUAAUCAUGGGGACAAAAUUGCUCCAGAGGCAUAGCUGUCAGCCAUUUACUUCUGAAUAAAUUAUAGUCCAGUCAAUCUGGCCCUACAAAGGGGUCUACUUUGCGAAAAUCUGAGGAGAAAAAAAUAAGACGGAUUCCUAUGUAAUUUUGGUCGCUGAAUCCGAAUCUGCUGUUUGCCAACAAAAAUUUUGGCCGGAAAUGGCCGCCAUCUUGAAAAAAUGGCGGAAAAUCACGUUUUUCCCCCAAAAUCCCCCAAAAUCUCACUUAUUUUAGGGUUUUCGACAAAAUGACUUUCCUUCACUUUAAAAGUACGUCAAAUUUCCUAUCAAACGGCUUUCAGAUUUUUGAAUUCGAACAAUUAGGGUAAAAGUUAUGGGCGAUCGCGUUAUGGGUGGUUUAAUGGGUUGAUGAGUUUUUCGUAAAAUUUGCUGCGUGAAAACGCUGUAACGCCGUUGGAAGUGAAACAAAAAUUCCGAAAAUGGUUUGCAUAUGUCCCUCUUGGUACCAGUGACCCUCCGCCAUGAAAAAAUCGAUUCUGAAAGCAAUAAUUUUUUUUUUUUUCUAUAGGCGGAGAAAAUCUUUUAAAGACUUCAUCUUAGGCAGCUGGGAGCCCAAGAUGGGUGUGUGGGAUUUCCACCUACCAAAAACCCCUCCGCUUUGGGUGAGCGAAUUGAAAAAAAAGCACUGAAUGAAUGUUGUUUUGAAUCCAGAAACAGAUGUAAGGACAUCUUUUUUUUUCAUUGCGCCCAUAGGCACGAGGAAAAGGGUAACCCUGUGAAACACCUCGUCUGCUCCGGUUGGAACAGGAACUACUCUUCUUUCUGUUGAAAAGGAACUUCAAAGAAAGAGACGUGCCAAGUGAAAGGUGGGUGGAAGUCAUUUUGGCAGUCGCACGCAAAUGGAAAAAGAAAACACUAGUCGGAUUUGGUUGAAACUGAUUCGAAGUGAGCUAAAAAGUCACAGACCGGGUUGUGGCACCAUGUCACGUCAGUAGGAUUAGUUGAGUUUUAGACAGACUGAAAACAUCUAAAAAUCAUUGACGCGGCGGAUAACUUAACGGAGUUGUGGGGGAGCAAGAAUUGAACUAAACAGUUGAUUGAACCGAAAAGAUUGUAUUAAAGAAUUUUGAAGAGAUUUACAGUUUAACAAAGAGUUGGAAUGUCACACUGGGAUGUGCCAUAAGGGCGAGAGUGGCACAGCGUACAAGUACGGGUCAAAAUGGUAAAAGGACCAUGAGGAACGGGCAGCAGAAGCUUUUAUAGACUUGAUGACGUCACAGGUGGUGAGACAACAAGCCUACACGCUAUUGGCUGGCUAUUAUCAGUGGAGCCAUCAGUUUCAAGUUGAGUAAUUAAAUGAAUGGGUGAUAAUAGGUGAUGGCUGGGAGAUAGAAGUGAAAAAGACAAACGUGGACGAAAUCCAGCCAUCCCUAAUGAGUAUUCUGAAAGUGAAUGAAAAAUUUAUAAGUUUAAGAAAAGAAAAAGUUGCAGGUAAUUCAGUACCUGUGACAAAAGCGUCGAAAUUGAUUUUUAAGGGUCCAUGCAGAAUAGCAGCGGAAAUUUCAUGGUACGGCACAACGUAGGCGAGAGAAUUCAAUACAGCAAUCAAUUUUUUCGAUCCGAAUUUUUUGCACACAUACGCUGAAACUCCGAUUUGGAUGGGCAAAUUUUAUGACCGAGGUCUGACUGCUGAAAUUGCAGAGUGAGAAAUCGCGAUGACUUUUUUUGGAAACUUCGGUUUAUUCUUAACUUUUUUGUUAUUUUAAAUAAUAGUAUCAAGUAG
rnacentral:lncRNA from 1 species